rnacentral:rRNA from 1 species
GGAGUUAGCCGGUGCUUCUUCUGUGAGUGAUGUCCUUCCUGCCGGCUAUUAACCCGCAGGCCUUCUUCCUCACUGAAAGUGCUUUACAACCCGAAGGCCUUCUUCACACACGCGGCAUGUCUGGAUCAGGGUUGCCCCCAUUGUCCAAUAUUCCCCACUGCUGCCUCCCGUAGGAGUCUGGGCCGUGUCUCAGUCCCAGUGUGGCUGAUCAUCCUCUCAGACCAGCUACGGAUCGUCGCCUUGGUGAGCCGUUACCUCACCAACCAGCUAAUCCGACAUAGGCUCAUCCGAUAGCGCGAGGCCCGAAGGUCCCCCGCUUUCCCCCGUAGGGCGUAUGCGGUAUUAGCCUGGGUUUCCCCAGGUUAUCCCCCACUACCGGGCAGAUUCCUAUGCAUUACUCACCCGUCCGCCGCUCGCCACCAGGGAGCAAGCUCCCCGUGCUGCCGCUCGACUUGCAUGUGUUAGGCCUGCCGCCAGCGUUCAAUCUGAGCCAGGAUCAAACUCUGA